CUCAUCAAGAAGGAUGUGGAUGAAGCCUACAUGAACAAGGUGGAGCUCGAGUCCCACCUGGAAGGACUGACCGACGAGAUCAACUUCCUCCGGCAGAUCCAUGAAGAGGAGAUCUGUGAGCUGCAGUCUCAGAUCUCAGACACGUCUGGGGUGCUGUCCAUGGACAACAGCCGCUCCCUGCACAUGGACAGCAUCAUUGCUGAAGUUCGUGCCCAGUAUGAGGAGAUUGCCAACCGCAGCCGGGCUGAGGCCGAAACCAUGUACCAGAUUAAGUAUGAGGAAUUGCAGACCCUGGCUGGGAAGCACGGGGAUGAUCCGCACCGCUCGAAGACCGAGAUCUCUGAGAUGAACCCUAACAUCAGUCGCCUGCAGGCAGAGAUGGAUGCCCUCAAAGGCCAGAGGGCAACCCUGGAGGCGGCCAUUGCUGAUGCACAGCAGCGUGGGGAACUGGCCAUGAAGGACGCCAAUGCCAAGCUGGAGGAUCUGAAGAAUGCCCUGCAGAAAGCCAAGCAGGACAUGGCCCGGCAGCUGCGGGAGUACCAGGAGCUGAUGAACGUGAAGCUGGCGCUUGACAUCGAGAUCGCCACCUACCGCAAGCUGCUGGAGGGCGAGGAGAGCAGGCUGGAGUCUGGGACGCAGAACAUGAGCAUCCACACGAAGACCACCAGUGGCUACGCAGGAGGACUGAGUUCAUCCUACGGGGGACUCACUAGCCCUGGCUUCAGCUAUGGAAUGAGCUCUUUCCAGCCCGGCUUCGGUUCUGUUGGGGGAUCCAGCACUUAUAGCCGCACCAAAGCUGUGGUCGGGAAGAAGAUUGAAACCCGAGAUGGGAAACUGGUGGCUGAGUCUUCCGACAUCAUGUCCAAGUGAAUGGCCACUGAAGUCAUUGCCAGCCUAAGGUCCUGCAGCUGCUCAGUGGUCAAGGGGAGACAGCUGUAUGGCAGAGUGCAGGGAACUAGGGACCAGCCAGAGGACCAGACCUAACCCUCUGGCCAACCUUGGGAGGAAUUUCCUAUCUGGGAUAUGCCAAUGCCCCCUGCUUUCCUCCCAACUCAAUUGUAUUUUCCAAAAUAAAG
rnacentral:lncRNA from 1 species